rnacentral:rRNA from 1 species
GUCCCUACGGGAGGCAGCAGUGGGGAAUAUUGCACAAUGGGGGAAACCCUGAUGCAGCGACGCCGCGUGAGUGAAGAAGUAUUUCGGUAUGUAAAGCUCUAUCAGCAGGGAAGAUAAUGACGGUACCUGAGUAAGAAGCCCCGGCUAACUACGUGCCAGCAGCCGCGGUAAUACGUAGGGGGCAAGCGUUAUCCGGAUUUACUGGGUGUACAGGGAUCGUAGACGGCAUGGCAAGUCUGAAGUGAAAGCCCGGGGCUCAACCGCGGGACUGCUUUGGAAAUUGUUAAGCUGGAGUGACGGAGUGG